AUUGAACGCUGGCGGCAGGCCUAACACAUGCAAGUCGAGCGGAGCGGCGGACGGGUGAGUAAUGCCUAGGAAUCUGCCUGGUAGUGGGGGAUAACGUUCGGAAACGGGAGCUAAUACCGCAUCCUAUCAGAUGAGCCUAGGUCGGCAUAGCUAGUUGGUGGGGUAAAGGCCUCACAAGGCGACGAUCCGUAACUGGUCUGAGAGGAUGAUCAGUCACACUGGAACUGAGACACGGUCCAGACUCCUACGGGAGGCAGCAGUGGGUAAUAUUGGACAAUGGGCGCAAGCCUGAUGCAGCCAUGCCGCGUGUAUGAAGAAGGCCUUCGGGUUGUAAAGUACUUUCAGUGAGGAGGCGUUACCCGCAGAAGAAGCACCGGCUAACUCCGUGCCAGCAGCCGCGGUAAUAC
rnacentral:rRNA from 1 species